GCCUGGGUGGCUCAGUCGGUUGAGCAUCUGACUAUUGAUCUUAUGGUCGUGGGAUCGAGUCCCACGUUGGGCU